rnacentral:rRNA from 1 species
UGGAUCCAGACUUUGAUCAUGGCUCAGGACGAACGCUGGCGGCGCGCCUAACACAUGCAAGUCGAACGGAGGUAAGACGGAGCUUGCUCUGACUUACCUUAGUGGCGGACGGGUGAGUAACACGUGAGCAACCUGCCUUUCAGAGGGGGAUAACGUUUGGAAACGAACGCUAAUACCGCAUAACGCGGGGAAGGGGCAUCCCUUUUUCGCCAAAGAAUUAUCGCUGAAAGAUGGGCUCGCGACCGAUUAGAUAGUUGGUGGGGUAACGGCUCACCAAGUCGACGAUCGGUAGCCGGACUGAGAGGUUGAACGGCCACAUUGGGACCGAGACACGGCCCAGACUCCUACGGGAGGCAGCAGUGGGGAAUAUUGCACAAUGGGGGAAACCCUGAUGCAGCGACGCCGCGUGAGGGAAGAAGGUUUUCGGAUUGUAAACCUCCGUCUUUGGUGACGAUAAUGACGGUAGCCAAAGAGGAAGCUACGGCUAACUACGUGCCAGCAGCCGCGGUAAUACGUAGGUGGCAAGCGUUGUCCGGAAUUACUGGGUGUAAAGGGAGCGUAGGCGGGAGGACAAGUUGAAUGUUUAAACUAUCGGCUUAACCGGUAAUCGCGUUCAAAACUGUUUUUCUUGAGUGAAGUAGAGGCAGGCGGAAUUCCUAGUGUAGCGGUGAAAUGCGUAGAUAUUAGGAGGAACACCAGUGGCGAAGGCGGCCUGCUGGGCUUUAACUGACGCUGAGGCUCGAAAGCGUGGGUAGCAAACAGGAUUAGAUACCCUGGUAGUCCACGCUGUAAACGAUGAUUACUAGGUGUGGGGGGACUGACCCCUUCCGUGCCGCAGUUAACACAAUAAGUAAUCCACCUGGGGAGUACGGCCGCAAGGUUGCAA